rnacentral:lncRNA from 1 species
GGAAAAGCAGUUUGCAGGAGAGGGGCAAGCACACAGGACUGCCCAGCACACUUGCCCACGAUGCACACUGCAGGGGCUGAGAACGUGUUGGGAAAAGCAAAGAAAUACUUGGCAGUGUCCCCAGGACUCUGGGGAUAUGAUUAACUGUUGAUCAGAGUUUCAUGGACUGAACACACAUACGCUUCCAGGGAACACACUGAACACACAUACGCUUCCAGUGUGACCUGCUCCGUGAGUGUGGCUUCAAAUUGUCUCCACCACAGGCCAACAAAUUUAGGACAAGCCUCCCUCCCCAUGCUGCAGUGGAGGAAACGGAAGCUUUAGGAAGAGAAGUGCCUUCUACAAGCUCCACGGCUGGAAAAUGGGCAAAGUCAGGACUCAAACCCUGGUGACUCCAGGGCCCCAGGCCUGGGAAAAAGGAACCCACUCAGCACAAGAAGGCAGCUUCUACUUCCGGUGAUUUCAUCGCUGACCAAUCAGCACUCCCGGCUCACUGGCUUCCCCCCACCCACCAAGUUGUCCUUAAAAACCCUGCUCCCCAAAUGCUCAGGGAGGCUAAUUUAAGUAGUAAUAAAAAUCCAAUCUCCUGCACAGCCGGCUGUGCGUGAAUUACUCUCUAUUGCAAUUCCCCUGUCUUGCUAAAUCUGCUCUGUCUAGGCAGCAGGCAAGGUGAGCCCCUUGGGGGGUUACGGUAGCUGUUUUCCUCUCUGGUA